UUAUUUGGAAAUGGGACUAUUGCAUUCCGGAGAUGAAGGGGGCGCUAUUUUCAUAAUCACUAGUAUAAAUACCUUAAAGACGCGGAGUUAAGAGGAAAGGAAGAAGAAAGAAAGAGGUUCUUCCACUGGUGUUCGGCGCACGAUCAACAAUGCAAAACUCACAAAGUCAACAAAAGAUCCACGUAUCUAUUUGCAACAUGAACAUAAAUAUUUCUGUUCCCUUUGCUAAUACAAGCUACAGAACCAUUUAGCACAAACUGCUAUGGUUCAACAUAACGAUGCCUCUGAAUGUUCUUGAAGCUGUUCUCCAGGAGGUGGCGCUAGCACAGGGAGACUCAGCUUACCUCACCUUGGCUUUGACCUGCAGGUGCUUUGAAGCCGUUGAGUCUGACCCAGUUUUCAGGAAGAAGACUCACUUUGCUUGGCUGGAUGGUGAGAUCAACUGGGGCAAAUUUUCAAAAACAUUCAAGGCAGAAAACCGGAUUCCUUUUGCGGUUGUAACAUGUUUUUCCUGCAACCGGUGAUAUAAAGACUGUGGGCUUCACCGGCAAUGGAAGACGAGGAGAGUACCCUGGUUACUACUGUGAUGGCCGACCUGGACACUGCACUGACUGUCAAUACUGAAUGCAAGGAGAAUAUUAGUUGCUUUCCUCAGUCUUUCACACAUUUCAGUUGUCACACAUUGUUAGUUUAUUUUUGUGACAUGCCAUUUUAAAUCAUUUCUGCUAAAGAAUAUUUGCCUUUUGACUUGUGCAGUCAUCCUUUUUAAUAAUGUGUUCGUUCAAUAUUAUUUACAUUUUUGAAUGUUCCUUUUGUUGUAGUUCAGUUGAUUUACAUUAUUUAGUUUUCAUAGAAAUGGUGCCGUUUCCACACAAAGUUACAUUGUGGCUGUAAUUUGUUGGAGAGAGUAGAACCAAUAAUGUAGUUGUAAAUAUAUUGUAACAGUGUUGUUUAACAAUAGGAUAACCUUGUUUUAAAAAGUUUAAAUGCAAGCAAAGCUAAUAACUUGCAAUAUUUUAUAUGUGUAAAUACAAUGUUUCCUAUACUUUUUGAACAAUGACUGGAAUCAAAGUUUCUUUACAAACCUGACAUACAGCUAAGUUUAUGUUUUAACAGAAUCAACUGUUGGGUUUUUUGUAAUAAAGUAGCAUAUACAGAAA